CAUGGAAGGAGACUUCUCGGUGUGCAGGAACUGUAAAAGACAUGUAGUCUCUGCCAACUUCACCCUCCAUGAGGCUUACUGCCUGCGGUUCCUGGUCCUGUGUCCGGAGUGUGAGGAGCCUGUCCCCAAGGAAACCAUGGAGGAGCACUGCAAGCUUGAGCACCAGCAGGUGAGGAGGCGGCAGGGAGGAUGGGGUCUGAGAGUCAAGGUUGGGUGUACGAUGUGUCAGCAGAGCAUGCAGAAGUCCUCGCUGGAGUUUCAUAAGGUAAGAGCCCCAUGUGAUUUCUCCUUUACAGCCAAAUAGACCAACCUGAGAAAAGGAGAGGAAGGGGAAACGGGAGGCCAGUAAUAGAGAUUUCCACCUGACCACUCUUUUCACCCCAUUAGGCUUGGAGAGCAGUGGAGAACUAGCCCACCGCAUAACACAGGUUCUCCUGUCCCCCAGAUACUGAUCAGAAGGGUUUUCCAUGGUCCAUGAGUCCAUCAGAGCUCAGAUCCCCCGAAGGCAGUCCCGCACUCUGGCCCUUCUCAUCUGCUUUCUCGUAUUGGCCCUAAUUCCCUAGGGAGAUGGGCACAAGUCCUUGAUCUGCCUACAGUCAAAGAGGCCAGUGAUCGGCCAGGCGCAGUGGCACACGCCUGUAAUCCCAGCACUUUGGGAGGCCAAGGCGGGUGGAUCACGAGGUCAGGAGUUCGAGACCAGCCUGACCAACAUGGUGAAACCCCGUCUCUACUAAAAGUACAAAAAUUAGCUGGGCGUGGUGGCACACGCCUGUGGUCCCAGCCACUUGGGAGGCUGAGGCAGGAGAAUUGCUUGAACCCGGGAGGCGGAGGUUGCAGUGAGCCAAGAUCAAGCCACUGCACUCCAGCCUGGGCAACACAAUGAGACUCUGUC
rnacentral:lncRNA from 1 species